rnacentral:tRNA from 3 species
GCACCGGUAGCUCAAUUGGAUAGAGCGACGGCCUACGGAGCCGUAGGUUGGAGGUUCGAUCCCUCUCCGGUGUA